rnacentral:rRNA from 1 species
UACGGAGGGUGCAAGCGUUGUCCGGAUUUAUUGGGUUUAAAGGGUGCGUAGGCGGCUUUGUAAGUCAGUGGUGAAAUAUGGCAGCUCAACUGUCAGGGUGCCAUUGAUACUGCAGAGCUUGAGUACAGAUGAGGUAGGCGGAAUUGACGGUGUAGCGGUGAAAUGCUUAGAUAUCGUCAAGAACACCGAUAGCGAAGGCAGCUUACUGGGCUGUAACUGACGCUGAGGCACGAAAGUGUGGGGAUCAAACAGG